CGAGAGCAGCUGCAUGCUAAGAGGAAGAGAAAACCAGGAGAAAACCUUCGAGUUUACCUUUGAAAAGAAAAAAAAAAACAGUUUGAGCACUUACCCACUGGAGGUCCGGAGCCAAGUGACUGAACGAAGGAGAGAGUUACGUCGGCUAACCACUUGCCUUUCACCCAGAGAGCCGCGGCAAGGUCCGACAUCGGCGUGUUCCGCCUUGAUACACAGAGAGCAACGGUCAGGUUUUUUUUUGGAGGACUGAAGAGUCUGAGGUUCAGGACAAACUUCCUGCUGUAACAGAUGGCGAGCCAACCACCCUGAAGAAAGAUCAGCACCAAGAUGAUGUCCACGUACCCACUCAUUCACACACACAUUAUACAUUUACAUUACACUACAAAGACCUCUGGAAUCAGGUGAACUUGCAAUAAGCCUACAACAGGAAAACCUGCAACAACUCCUAUUUUACUUAAGGGCCCCAACGGACAUUUUUUUGUUUCAAGUGUGCACACUGGGUUUUUCUUAUUGUCUUACUGUUUGGGUUAUUAUUUUGUAUUCUGUACAAAUCAGACAAAUUGUUUAAGUGGUAAUGGAUGGAUGGAUGGAUGGAUGGAUUUAAUCUUGCUAGCCUUCACAAAUAAAAUAAACAAUAGCAUAGUCACAUCUGCAAAAAGUUCAAAAGUUUAUUGUCAGAAUUACAUUCAACAAAAUAAUAGCAGUUCAGGGACUGAGAAACAGAAGUAGAACAAGAAGAAUAACUUUUAACUUUUGCAUGACACGUACUGCAUUAGUGCAUCCUGUACAUCUCUGCCCUCCUCCUCUACACCUUGUGCCACUGCAGGCUCAUGUGCUGCUGCUUCAGGUAAAUCCCAUGAAGUCUCAUCAGAGAGCAUCUGAAACACAUACACAGCAUACAUAUUUUAAUACCUAAUAGCGACAAACUGCAGCCAUUACAGGGUCGUUCACAGGACUGAUACACGAUAGCUAGCGAACUAGCAUUAGCUUACCCUCAUAUGUCGUCUAGUUCAUAUCCUCUUGUCUUUGGUUUGAUACUGCUGUGUCGCCUCCCAAACUCUCCUGUGUGUCUCCUGAGUGAUUCAACUUGCCGACCUCAGCUUUCUGACUUUCUUCUUUUACUUUGAAUCUGACAAAAAGCCACAGACCGAGCAGCAGGUGUACCAUCGCCUGCAUGUCUAUUGUUGUGUUGCGCAGACGUUAAGGGACUUCCGGCCGCUGUGCUAUGAUGGCUCCACCCACGAUCAGGUGAUGCUCAAUUGUAAUGGAAAAUGAUCUAAACCGAGUUGAGUCGAGCCCAGUAGGUGCUAAUGGAAAUGCGCCUUUUGAUAUUCUUCCUUUUUUAAAUUCAUCACCUGUGCUUAUUCUGCUUCUAUAUCCCUCUCUUUCUUGUUUUGGCAAUGUGGCUCUUUGUUAAUAUGGUUUUAAUUGCAGUUUGAUUUUCUCUUUGAUGCUCGCUUCAAGAUUAUAUUACCACAGCAAUUCAGGAACAUGACCCUUUCAUUCUCCCAUUACCUUGCUUAGCCUGCUCAGUUUUUCUCUUUUUCUCAGCCUCUCUCUCCAUCAUGCUCUCAUUAAUAGUUUUGUGACGGCUCUCUGACAGUAAUGGACUUUAAGGUACCCACAGAGUUGUGCGAUUAAUAUUCUGAUCACAUCAGUCGCUCAUUCACUGUCCCUCUCUCUGUGUCUGCUUAGCUCCCUCUUUCUAACAACAUAACACAAUCAUUAUUCUGAUCACACCUUGCUCUGUCUUUCCCUGCCACAUAAAGUGUCUCAGUUAUGAGGAUGUAACCAGGAUGUUUACAAAAGACAUCUCUGUGUAUACAUCUGAAGCAGUCUUCACAGCAUACUUCUCUAUACCAUGUAUGCAACAUGGAAUAUUGCAGCAACAAGUUGUGUGAUAUGUAUUAGUAUUGACUUUUCUAGUGCAGUUGAUUUCAAAAACUUUAUGCCCCUUAAAAGAAACAAGUCUAUCAUCUGCUAUAUCACCAUGUCAUACACUGCAAACGUCUGAUUAUCUUGUCAUAGCAGCAUGUUGAUAUCUGGGAAAUUAAGCUAACAUUUGGGUCUUUGCUGUCAACUUGCAUGAGAAAUACACGAGGCAGCAACUUUAAUAAGGACCAAAUCAUAGCCAGAUGACUGUGUCAGAGCAUAUCCAAAAUGGCUACGUAUGUGGUUUGCUAUAAGUCAGUAGUCAUGAACUGGCAACAGAAUGUUAGGUGAUAUGCUAAAAGAAGUUUGAUCUGCACUGGCUCCAACUGAAUUGGCUGUUUUGUUAUGAGAAGCCACCCAACACUUUUGGAGGUCUUGUAGAAUCCACGCAGUGGGUAAGAGCUGUUUUGAUGGCAAAGAAUUGACCAAGGCAGGCUGGGGUGGUCAUAAUGUUUUGACUCAUUAGUGUCUUUACAUUAAAAAAAAAAAAAAAGUGAAUUUAAAUGAAAAAUGUUGUUUCAUUUGGAAAAUAGAAGAGAUUACCACAAAUCACAGCCGCAUUAGAUCAGAUCUUCAGGCUAGUCAGUGGGAAUAUAAAUUACUGCUUUCUUUCAUUUCCAACCUAGCUGUGUCAAAAAUACUUUAAAAAGAUGGAAUACUGUUUUAAAAUCUUUAAGGGCAGGUCCAGAUGUCAAGGCAUACAGUAGUAUGAAUCACGUUACAGUCUUCACCUGUUGAUAGUGUUGAAGAGAUGUGGAUGCAGAUGAAUUAGCCAUGCCAAUGAGGAAACUCUAUCUGCUGAUGAAAACCAUGAGAUGGAGGUCAAAGUUGUAGAAAAUGAGGAAAAAUCAUGUAGCUAGGUGACAAAUUUUAUUAAUAUGUAAUUUCUCAAUGUAUUUAAAUGUACUGUUCCUUGUUUUUUUCAUUAUUAUUUUGCUGUUGUCACUAUGGAAGUGGUUUAGGUUUUUAAUGAAUUCAUUUUCAUGGUGAACACAAUUUUAGAGUUUAACUUGUAUGCCUGGCACUACAUCUCACUCAGUAACAACAACAAAAAAAAGUACAGAACCUUUUUUUUUUUUUAAAAGGGCUUGAUUCUCAGCAACAGCUCUUGUUAAAUUAUUUAAAGCUGGGCUGCUGUUGCCACUGAGCUAAUUAAACAUGAACAAUGUUCCCAAUCUGUGUUGAUAGGUUCACUUACACUGUAAUUUAAUUUAUUUGAUUGGAGCAAUAAUUAGUAAUUUUAUUUAGUAGGUUGGCAAAGUCCAGAAAAGUUUCCACCAUUCUUACCUUUUCAUUUUUAUUGGCCCUAUUUCCUGUGUUGCUUUCACAGACUGUGGCGCUCCUCCAUUGUGAGCUGUUAAGCUGGUAUAGGUGACAAUGCUUGGUAGUAAUCAGUGUAAUUUGCUUAUUAGUACACUAUUGAACCAUAUUAUGACCACCUCUGCUCAUUACACUACUCCCCAUUCUAGUGCGUCCCUUUGGUGCCCCCAAUCCUUUUCGUGGUCUAAGUGGGAAGCUUAUUGACAGCACAUUAACCUGCAAAAGUUUUGCUGAAUAUCUUGCUCGGCAAUUCCAAGUUUACAUUGCAUUCCCAUACAGAAACUGAGCUUGUUGAAAACUGACUAUGCUUGAGUUUGAUGCCAGGUGAAUCUUUUGUGCUAAAGACUCCGCAGUGGGUUUAUAAACUUUUGACGGGCCCCUCUCCUCCUCCAUCCCUUACUAAAUGUCUCCAGACUGCACCCUCCAACGCUCAAGUGCCAUCUCAUAGUCUCAUCCCUUGUGAGUACCUGUACACAUGGUUUAUUUUCAAAUGAUUCCCUUUACACCUUCUUUCUUCACAACCAACUCCCUUUACUUCUCCCGUCAACUUAGGUGCCAUCAACGGUAUUAUUGUCUUUUCCCUCUCUUCUCACCUUCCUUGCAUCUUUCGCUCCAUCUCCUGCUCCUCUGUUGCUGUAUUCACUUCCAAUGAAGUACAAAUUUAGGAUCUCUUGUACUUUCAGCCUCACUUGUCUGCUUGUUGUGAUGUAAGUGUGCACUCAUCCGCUCCUACACCUUCACCAAGGCCUCAUUCAUGGACAUAUAGGGAGAACACUGAGAAACACAUGAUUGCUUCUUUCAGUAUUAAAUAAAUUGUUUUUAUUGCCAAAUAUUCUAAUGGAAUAUGAAGCCAAAUGUUAUUUGUGAUUUCAUUCCUUUCUGUGUGGUUGUAUCAACUAAACAUUUCUAUUUAUUUGUUCAAAAAGCUCCUUGCAUUGAUAUGCUCCAGCACAUCACAUUUUUAAAUAUUUGUUCCUAUUACUUGUAUAUAUUUCAAUACUUGUUUUAUACAGCUCUUUGUUAUAUACUAUGUUGUUUUUUGAAAGUAUUAGUUAAUAAAUGUUUUUAUAUAAUGAUCA